UCCCUGGAGGAUUGGUGGUUAGGCCUCAGCACUCUCACCGCCGUGGCCUGGGUUCAAUUCCCGGCCAGGGAA
rnacentral:tRNA from 1 species